UCACACAGCAUUGUACCUUAUCUGUCCCCAGACAUUGCACCUGGUGCUGUGAAGCUGAAAUUAAGGUAUUUU
rfam:Myotis brandtii contig162911, whole genome shotgun sequence.